GUUAAGAAGGUAACGUUUGAAGAAUGAUUAUGCAUUAAAAUUUACAAUAUUUUCAAUAUUGCAAUGUCAUUUUCAAAAUUUUGAAAGAGUUGAAGAGAUACAUUUUAGCUGCCAAGUCAAUGUACAAUUGAUUGACAACUUACAUUGAAUCUUAAAACUAUUUUUUUGUAAAAGAAUAUUUUGAAAUAGUUCUUGUAGCUGAUCGAUAAUCGAUAGUCAAUAAUCAAGCAAAUGUACGAGCAAAAAAUUGCCGCGAUUGGCGAAUUGUUGGUGAUUGUGAAAUAACACGAAGCGAAGAGAAAUUUAGGAAUUGGUGAUAUUUUGGUAGUUUCGGUUUAUGUAAGUAAUCGAGCAAGAGCCCACGUGUUUCCGUCACGGAACGGAAAUUCGACGAUUUCUUCGAAUAUUUCACUCGCAUCGAUUGUAGGUUACCUUGCACCACACUGCUACUUAAAAUAUUCCGGUUCGUAUAUAUAUCUUUUAUAAAUAGUGUUUUAUGAUAUUUUUAGCUAGUUUUCGUAGAAUCGGUGCGUCUCUAUGAUCAAGAUUCGUGGCGAGAACGUAAGUAAGGACGACAGUAAGGAAAGCUUUAGCUUGGUUUUAAUAGUGUCGGCGAUCUACAAUCGAACGACGAAAGUCACUCGCGUAAGAGUUGUCGAGAAAUCGAUCUUCGACCAUUAGUUCUUAUUACAUUCGAGAAUUCGUUAGCUCGGCAUUCCGUGGCGGCCAGAAUUUCUGUUUCAUAAUAACGCAGAUGCCCCUCGUCGAGGUCUCUUAAGCGGAAAACGGGAGUGAAGAAAAUAGAAUGAGGAUCGAGUUGAUCAAGUCGAAUCGAACCGAGAUGACUCAUAAAUAAGGAUGGAAAAUGAAGAGGACGAAGAAUGAAAGUUAAUUAGGUCAUCUCCUAAUUGUGGACGUUAAAUUUAAAGAUACAAAAUUGGAUAGGAUGCACACAAAAAUAUAGAAAUUAUUUGAUGUACUAUUUUGAUCAGAAAAAUUAUCGUUAAAUAGAAAUUGAUCGGAAUUUGGAUAUCAAUGAUUGUCUAGUAAUCAUAUGAAAUGGAUCUACAUGACAUUAAUAUAAGACUAUCAUUAGAGGAAUACACGAGAAAAAGAUAAGUAUAUUUUUGUCCAUUCUUUGAUUUUUAUAUCACUUACUUACAAUUAAUAAAUAUGAUGAUUGU